AGGGAAAGCGGGGGGCAGGCCUAACACAUGCAAGUCGAACGGUAACAGGAAGAAGCUUGCUUCUUUGCUGACGAGUGGCGGACGGGUGAGUAAUGUCUGGGAAACUGCCUGAUGGAGGGGGAUAACUACUGGAAACGGUAGCUAAUACCGCAUAACGUCGCAAGACCAAAGAGGGGGACCUUCGGGCCUCUUGCCAUCGGAUGUGCCCAGAUGGGAUUAGCUAGUAGGUGGGGUAACGGCUCACCUAGGCGACGAUCCCUAGCUGGUCUGAGAGGAUGACCAGCCACACUGGAACUGAGACACGGUCCAGACUCCUACGGGAGGCAGCAGUGGGGAAUAUUGCACAAUGGGCGCAAGCCUGAUGCAGCCAUGCCGCGUGUAUGAAGAAGGCCUUCGGGUUGUAAAGUACUUUCAGCGGGGAGGAAGGGAGUAAAGUUAAUACCUUUGCUCAUUGACGUUACCCGCAGAAGAAGCACCGGCUAACUCCGUG
rnacentral:rRNA from 1 species